UACAGAGGUCUCAAGCGUUGUUCGGAUUCAUUGGGCGUAAAGGGUGCGUAGGCGGCGCGGUAAGUCGGGUGUGAAAUCUUGGAGCUUAACUCCGAAACUGCAUUCGAUACUGCCGUGCUUGAGGACUGGAGAGGAGACUGGAAUUUACGGUGUAGCGGUGAAAUGCGUAGAUAUCGUAAGGAACACCAGUGGCGAAGGCGACUUUCUGGCCUGUUCUUGACGCUGGAGGCGCGAAAGCUAGGGGAGCAAACGGG
rnacentral:rRNA from 1 species